CGGCCGCGUCCAGAUCAAGGUGUACCGAGGCCCCGACCACGGCCACCACGGCCACGCCCCCCACGGCUACUGGGUCAAGCAGCCCGCCGACGACGCGCCGCACCACCGCCGCCGGUAGAGAGCUCCCUGCCGGUGACUCCAGAGGCAUCACGAGCGACGCGUGCACCAGCAGACUGCUUCCGAGAGUCGUUUCCGUCACUCCGCCUCGCGCGCACUCAUGGGCCGUCCCGUAUAAGGUGCGAGAGAAACAGAGCGACGAACAAGACCCUCGGAAUAAUCGUACUGGACGACCAGGACGGCGAAAGCAUCGCGCCGUCGCGCCGUGGUACUUCCCUGUCCCACGUUCCGCGGGACUAGCCGCCAGGCUGGUAGCAAGACUGACAGAACCGUAAUGUAAUUGUAAAUAAAUUUAUUUUGUACAUAUGGUUGUUGCUUUUAUCGACGGGAAGAUCUCACUCGCUCAGACAUCCACGAAUAUGAGUGUGUAGUAGUGUUCUUGUGAACUUUUGUCUGUGGCGUAUUACAAUAAAUGGAUACCUUAUU